AGCAGCCGCGGUAAUUCCAGCUCCAAUAGCGUAUAUUAAAGUUGUUGCAGUUAAAAGCUUGUAGUUGAAUUUCGGGGCCAGUAGGUUGGUCGUGCCACUGGUAUGUAUUGGCCUUACUGGUUCCUCCUUCUUGAAGAACCGUAAUGUCAUUAAUUUGGUGUCGCGGGGAAACAGGAUUGUUACUUUGAAAAAUUAGAGUGCUUAAAGCAGGCUAACGCUUGAAUACAUUAGCAUGGAAUAAUGAAAUAGGACGUUCGAUCUUAUUUUGUUGGUUUCUAGGAUUGACGUAAUGAUUAAUAGGGAUAGUUGGGGGCAUUAGUAUUCAAUUGUCAGAGGUGAAAUUCUUGGAUUUAUUGAAGACUAACUACUGCGAAAGCAUUUGCCAAGGAUGUUUUCAUUAAUUAAGAACGAAAGUUAGGGAUCGAAGACGAUCAGAUACCGUCGUAGUCU
rnacentral:rRNA from 1 species